AAUUCUGUUCAGGAGGUCACAUUUCAGGCUCUCCACAUCAUGUGUGACUGACUUUUACGUUAUAACAACGAUCACACACUAGGAAUGUUAUAAAGCGCCUAUAUAGGAGAUUCUUUUGUAUAUUAUCUGACUUUAUAAACUCCAACAACAAUGUGCUUCUAUUUUUUUUCAGGCUAAAUCUACCCAAGACACUGGUUGUCAGACUGAUUUAGCUGCAAGAAUGCACUUGUCCAGGCUGAUGUGAAACCUUCCCUGUAGCAAAGCCAGUCAGAAUGGAGUUCACAGCCGCAGUGUGUCUGGUGACCCACGGUGACCAUGAUGAAAAUUCAUCUUCCAGAAAGUCCCAGAGCGUCCAGACCCCCUGAAAAGACCAAGAUGUAAGGUGUCUGCUGUUGAUUCCAGCUUCCACCUCAGUGACAGUGCAAGCUCAGUGAACUGUUCAAGGUAAUAAAUAAAAAUUAAAACAUUUCAGAUUUUUUAAGAUAUUAACAAUUAAAUAAGUAUGUGAUUACAUCAUGACGGGGGCUACUGAUUCUGCCCCUGUGACACUUGGUGGUGACGUGUGAGCUGAUUCACCUGGAAAACAACUUUUACAUUAAAUAUUUUGUUUUUGCUAUCAAAAGUAAAUUAACUAAUAACCUGCAUUAUUGCAGGCCACUCAGCAAAAUAUGGACUCUACACCAUGAGGCAUGCACACAUUAAUAUUCUAUAAGAGCACAUAAGCAUGAGGAUGUCCUCACACACCUGUAACCUAUCAGCUCAUCUGGCAGAAUAGAGAGAGAAGAGACAACACCACAUCUCCUGUUCCUGGAAAGCCUUCAGCCAUCCUUUGAUGACUGAGAACCUCCAUCAGCUCUGUCUCCUGUCUGCCUACAAUUAUUAUAAUAAAUAUUGUGUUUGACAAGUU